AAUUGAAGAGUUUGAUCAUGGCUCAGAUUGAACGCUGGCGGCAGGCCUAACACAUGCAAGUCGAGCGGUAGAGAGGUGCUUGCACCUCUUGAGAGCGGCGGACGGGUGAGUAAUGCCUAGGAAUCUGCCUGGUAGUGGGGGAUAACGCUCGGAAACGGACGCUAAUACCGCAUACGUCCUACGGGAGAAAGCAGGGGACCUUCGGGCCUUGCGCUAUCAGAUGAGCCUAGGUCGGAUUAGCUAGUUGGUGAGGUAAUGGCUCACCAAGGCGACGAUCCGUAACUGGUCUGAGAGGAUGAUCAGUCACACUGGAACUGAGACACGGUCCAGACUCCUACGGGAGGCAGCAGUGGGGAAUA
rnacentral:rRNA from 1 species